AUUUAAAUUUUAAACUAUAAAAAAUUAAAUAUCCAUCUAUACACAUAUAUGUACACAUAUUUGUUUAUACAUGUAAGUUGGGAAAAUCUAAAAACUGACUAGAUUUAAUAUUAAUAUAAUAUUGUUCAUAUUCUAAGUAUGAAAAUGGUUUUGUUGUUAAAUUUUUUAAAGGAGACUUCAUAUUUGAGAAAUGAAAACUUACAUUUAUGGGAGAAAAAAUAUGUCUUGGAUUUGCUUCAAAAUAAGCCAGGUUGCAGAUGGUAGUCUGAGAGGGACAGAAUGAGAGGGAGCAGGAGAAAGAAGCGAAUAAAUAAGAAUGCAUCUGGAGAAUGAGGCAUCUUGGAAUCUGGAAAGUGAGGCAUUCUGGAAGAGAGAUGAAGGUAAAAUUUUAAAGUCCCACAGAACUGGAAAAAUAAAACACUCUAAGCUUCAUAUGGAACCAAAAGAGAGCCCAUAUAGCCAAGAUAAUCCUAAGCAAGAAGAACAAAGCUGGAGGCAUCACACUACCUGACUUCAAACUAUACCACAAGGCUACAGUAAUCAAAACAGCAUGGUAUUGGUACCGAAACAGAGAAAUCGACCAAUGGAACAGAACAGAGGUCUCAGAGGCAAUGACACACAUCUACAACCAUCUGAUCUUUGACCAACCUGACAAAAACAAGCAAUGAGGAAAAGAUUCCCUGUUUAAAUGGUAUUGGGAAAACUGGCUAGCCAUGUGCAGAAAGCAGAAACUGAACCCUUUCCUUACACCUUACACUAAAAUUAACUCCAGAUGGAUUAAAGAUUUAAACAUAAGAUCUAACACCAUAAAAACCCUAGAGAAAAACCUAGGCAAUAACCACAACUCUUAAAAGGAUGGGAUGCUACCUGUGUCAUUGUUUCCUUUUGCUUUCAGAAGGUUUGAAAUCUUUUCCUGGGCAACUCAUGUUGAUGGCCUUCAGGCUAGCUCUCCUAUGAAACUCACCAUGCUAUGUUAGAAAUAUCUAUAUGCCAGUUCUCAGGGCUUUAAAUUUGUCUGAAGACCAUUCAUGAAGCAAGAUAUUAAAGAGAUCCUAGCUUCGUUAAGAGGAAAAGAGAAUGAAGUUUGAUCAUGGUACAAUUCAAACCCAAAUACCUGUUUGCUCAGUUUCAUACCAUGAAUAACUUUUUAAAACCCGUUUUAAAUAAUUGUUAUAUUUAUUAUGGAUGGUGACAAAUAGAAUGGUUUAGAGAAACCAGCCCUUACUCCCCAAGGCAAAUGUCCUGUUAGAAUGUAAAUACUUCUGUCAUCCUUGCAUUAUAACGAGGUCAUACUGUUUUAAUUA
rnacentral:lncRNA from 13 species